UGGGGAAUAGUGCACAAUGGAGGGAACUCUGAUGCAGCGACGCCGCGUGAGUGAUGAAGGAAUUCGUUUCGUAAAACUCUGUUCUAUGGGAAGAAAAGGACUGUACCAUAGGAGAAAGCUCCGGCUAAAUACGUGCCAGCAGCCGCGGUAAUACGUAUGGAGCGAGCGUUGUCCGGAAUUAUUGGGAGUAAAGGGUGCGCAGGCGGCUUUACAAGUUGGAUGUGAAAUAUUGUGGCUCAACCACAAACGUGCAUCCAAAACUGCAAAGCUUGAGUUAAGGAGAGGUAAGUGGAAUUCCUGGUGUAGCGGUGGAAUGCGUAGAUAUCAGGAGGAAUACCGGUGGCGAAGGCGACUUACUGGACUUAAACUGACGCUCAGGCACGAAAGCGUGGGGAGCAAACAGG
rnacentral:rRNA from 1 species